GAUGAACGCUGGCGGCGUGCCUAAUACAUGCAAGUCGAGCGAACAGACGAGGAGCUUGUUCCUCUGACGUUAGCGGCGGACGGGUGAGUAACACGUGGAUAACCUACCUAUAAGACUGGGAUAACUUCGGGAAACCGGUGCUAAUACCGCAUAAUAUAUUGAACCGCAUGGUUCAAUAGUGAAAGACGGUUUUGCUGUCACUUAUAGAUGGAUCCGCGCCGCAUUAGCUAGUUGGUAAGGUAACGGCCUACCAAGGCAACGAUGCGUAGCCGACCUGAGAGGGUGAUCGGCCACACUGGAACUGAGACACGGUCCAGACUCCUACGGGAGGCAGCAGUAGGGAAUCUUCCGCAAUGGGCGAAAGCCUGACGGAGCAACGCCGCGUGAGUGAUGAAGGUCUUCGGAUCGUAAAACUCUGUUAUUAGGGAAGAACAAAUGUGUAAGUAACUAUGCACGUCUUGACGGUACCUAAUCAGAAAGCCACGGCUAACUACGUG
rnacentral:rRNA from 1 species